UGGCUCAAGAUGAACGCUAGCGGCAGGCCUAAUACUUGCUUGUCGAACGAGAUUAAGAGGCUUGCUUCUUAUGAAAGUGGCGCACGGGUGCGUAACGCGUAUGCAACCUACCUUAAUCGGGGGGAUAGCCCGAAGAAAUUCGGAUUAAGACCGCAUAAAAACACGGGAUAGCAUUAUCCAAUGUUCAAAUAUUUAUAGGAUUAAGAUGGGCAUGCGUGUCAUUAGCUAGUUGGCGGGGUAACGGCCCACCAAGGCGACGAUGACUAGGGGAUCUGAGAGGAUGACCCCCCACACUGGUACUGAGACACGGACCAUACCCCUACGGGAGGCAGCAGUAAGGAAUAUUGGUCAAUGGAGGGAACUCUGAACCAGCCAUGCCGCGUGCAGGAAGACAGCCCUCUGGGUCGUAAACUGCUUUUAUUCGGGAAUAAACCUUUCUACGUGUAGGAAGCUGAAUGUACCGAAGGAAUAAGGAUCGGCUAACUCCGUGCCAGCAGCCGCGGUAAUACGGAGGAUCCAAGCGUUAUCCGGAUUUAUUGGGUUUAAAGGGUGCGUAGGCGGCUUAUUAAGUCAGGGGUGAAAGACGGUGGCUCAACCAUCGCACUGCCCUUGAUACUGAUGAGCUUGAAUACACUAGAGGUAGGCGGAAUGUGACAAGUAUCGGUGAAAUGCAUAGAUAUGUCACAGAACACCGAUUGCGAAGACAGCUUAUUAAGGUGUUAUUGACGCUGAGGCACGAAAGCGUGGGGAUCAAACAGGAUUAGAUACCCUGGUAGUCCACGCCCUAAACGAAUGAAUACUCGCUGUUAGCGAUAUACAGUUAGCGGCUAAGCGAAAGCGUUAAGUAUUCCACCUGGGGAGUACGCCCGCAAGGGUGAAACUCAAAGGAAUUGACGGGGGCCCGCACAAGCGGAGGAGCAUGUGGUUUAAUUCGAUGAUACGCGAGGAACCUUACCCGGGCUUGAAAGUUAGUGAAUGAUCUAGAGAUAGAUCAGUGAGCAAUCACACGAAACUAGGUGCUGCAUGGCUGUCGUCAGCUCGUGCCGUGAGGUGUUGGGUUAAGUCCCGCAACGAGCGCAACCCCUAUGUUUAGUUGCCAGCACGUUAAGGUGGGGACUCUAAACAGACUGCCUGUGCAAACAGAGAGGAAGGAGGGGACGACGUCAAGUCAUCAUGGCCCUUACGUCCGGGGCUACACACGUGCUACAAUGGAUGGUACAGAGGGCAGCAAGCUGGCAACAGCAAGCGAAUCUCAAAAAGCCAUUCACAGUUCGGAUAGAGGUCUGCAACUCGACCUCUUGAAGUUGGAUUCGCUAGUAAUCGCGU
rnacentral:rRNA from 1 species